AACGAGGGUGGGGGGAGGAGGAUUGACUAGGCAGGGACGCAAAGGAAAUUCCUUAAGUGAAAAUGUUCUCUAUUUUGAUUAGGGCGCACAGAUAUAUACAGUUACCAAAAGUAAUCGAAAUGGACAGUUGAAGUGUAAUAUAAUUUCGCUGUGUGUAAAUUACAUUUCGAUAAAAAGAAUUUAAAACGUGAUUAACUUAAAUCCGGAUACCUAUGACAGGGUCUGGGAGGGAGAGGCGAUUACUACCUCCGAUGACCCCAAACCCUCACCAGAUUAAAAGGAACAUCAAACUCCAGACCAGAACGGGAGAGAAUGGAAAGCAGACAGCAGGGAGGGCCAAAGCCUAAGAAAUCGCUAGAGGGCCGGCAAGUGCCGCAGCCGAACAGAUGCCUGGGCUGCGGCGCCCGAGUGUCUCACGAAAAUAAGCCCCCGCGCCCCUUUCCGGUGCCCUCAAGUCCGUCUAGUGCCUCCACCCGAAGGAUCCGGAGGGAAACGACGCCGCGGCGAGAAAAGAACUGGUGGCAGCUUGGUUCCUGCGCGGAUGCUGGGGCUGUAGGCGCCGCGCGGUCGGCUCGUCGCGGCUCGCGGGGAGGACGCCGGGGCUCACCUGCCCUCCGCUGCUGCCAUGAUUCCGGUGUCGCUGGUGGUGGUGGUGGUGGGCGGCUGGACUGCUGUCUACCUGACCGACUUGGUGCUGAAGUCUUCUGUGUAUUUUAAGCAUUCUUAUGAAGACUGGCUGGAGAACAACGGAUUGAGCAUCUCCCCUUUUCACAUAAGAUGGCAAACUGCUAUUUUCAAUCGUGCCUUUUACAGCUGGGGACGGCGGAAAGCCAGGAUGCUUUACCAAUGGUUCAAUUUUGGGAUGGUGUUUGGUGUAAUUGCCAUGUUCAGCUCUUUUUUUCUCCUGGGGAAAACACUAAUUCAGACCUUAGCACAAAUGAUGGCUGACUCUCCCUCUUAUUCUUCCUCCUCUUCUUCCUCAUCCUCCUCUUCUUCUUCCUCCUCUUCCUCUUCUUCCUCUUCCUCCUCCUCCUCCUCUUCCUCACUUCACAAUGAACAGGUGCUACAAGUUGUGGUUCCUGGUAUAAAUUUACCCAUCAACCAACUGACCUAUUUCUUCGCUGCAGUCCUCAUUAGUGGUGUUGUACAUGAAAUUGGACAUGGGAUAGCAGCUAUUAGGGAACAGGUUCGAUUUAAUGGCUUUGGAAUUUUUCUCUUCAUUAUUUAUCCUGGAGCAUUUGUUGAUCUGUUCACCACUCAUUUGCAACUUAUAUCACCAGUCCAGCAGCUAAGGAUAUUUUGUGCAGGUAUCUGGCAUAAUUUCGUCCUUGCACUGCUGGGUAUUUUAGCUCUUGUCCUCCUCCCUGUAAUUCUCUUGCCAUUUUACUACACUGGAGUUGGGGUGCUUAUCACUGAAGUUGCUGAGGACUCACCUGCCAUUGGACCCAGAGGCCUUUUUGUGGGAGACCUUGUCACCCAUCUACAGGAUUGUCCAGUUACUAAUGUACAAGAUUGGAAUGAAUGUCUAGAUACCAUCGCCUAUGAGCCCCAAAUUGGUUACUGUAUAAGCGCAUCAACUUUACAGCAGUUGAGCUUCCCAGUUAGAGCCUACAAACGAUUAGAUGGCUCGACUGAAUGCUGUAACAAUCACAGCCUCACAGAUGUGUGCUUUUCCUACAGAAAUAAUUUUAAUAAGCGUUUGCAUACAUGUCUACCUGCUCGGAAAGCAGUUGAAGCCACCCAAGUUUGUAGAACCAAUAAAGACUGUAAAAAAAGUUCAAGUUCAAGUUUCUGCAUAAUACCUUCUUUGGAAGCUCACACACGCUUAAUAAGAGUGAAACACCCGCCACAAAUUGAUAUGUUGUAUGUAGGACAUCCACUGCACCUUCACUACACAGUGAGCAUCACAAGUUUUAUCCCACGUUUCAACUUUCUGAGCAUAGAUCUACCUGUGGUUGUGGAAACAUUUGUCAAGUACCUGAUUUCCCUCUCAGGAGCCCUGGCUAUUGUUAAUGCAGUUCCCUGCUUUGCUUUGGAUGGACAGUGGAUUUUAAACUCUUUCCUGGAUGCCACCCUUACCUCAGUGAUUGGAGACAAUGAUAUCAGAGAUCUGAUAGGAUUUUUCAUCUUGCUUGGUGGCAGUGUACUUUUGGCUGCCAACGUGACCCUGGGACUCUGGAUGGUUACAGCACGGUAAUAUUUGCACUCAUCCGACAGAAUCUCCAAGUUACAAUAUGCAACAUUAAAAACUUUACCUGGUAUGAAAUAUAAAGUGUUUCCUUCAAAUUACAUUUUAGCAAACAACUUUAAGCUCCUCCUAUAUUCAGAGUAUCCGAACUCUGGGAUGGGGAAUAAACAGGAGAAAUGAAAGACGUAAUCCCUGACUACAUUCUGGUUUUAAAGACUGAACUUAACAAACUUCAGAUGCUUGUGGAACAAUUUUAAACAAGUGCAAAUUCAUGUUAAAGCAUUUUGUGUGACUGCGUAUCAGGUUGCAGUCGUGUAAAGGUGAACAGAAUUGGGUGGAAUUAAUUGGGGAAAACUUUUUGAAAAAGCAUCAUCAAUCCAGAUUUGAACAAGACCAGACUUGGGCCAAGUGAAAAGAAAACUGUAAACAUGUGCUUCAUGGAUAUGUGGCUCUCAGUCAUCAGUUGGUCCUGUGGUAUUGAAUGUCCACAUACUGAUGGUGCACAGGUAUUUUUUCUAUAAAUCUUGACUGUGCUGUAAUUGAUUCUUAGGGUUUUACUUGAAGAUACCAUAGUCGCUGGUGUUUGAUGUUUAGCAAUAAAAGAAUAAAUGUAUACCAGCAUUCUAUGUUUUAUCAUCAUCAUCUAUGUGUUGUCUUUUUUUGAAUUGUACUUUCUAUCAAAAUUAUUCCCUUUACAUAAAGUAAGAUCUUCGUUGUUUUUCAAUUAUUUAUUCUAAAAGCAGCCUUCAGUUUUCAAUCAAGCAAUCUGUACAUAAAAGUUGUUGCAGGCUACGGAAAGAAAGUCUUUUUUAUUUAUUUAUUUUUUAUUAAGGUAUCAUUGAUAUACAAUCUUAUGAAGGUUUCACAUGAGCAACAUUGUGGUUACAACAUUCACCCAUAUUAUCAACUCCGCCCCACACCCCAUUGCAGUCACCAUCCAUCAGCAUAGUGAGAUGCUAUAGAGUUACUACUUGUCUUCUCUAUGCUGUACUGUUUUCCCCGUGAGCUACCUAUAUUAUGUAUGCUAAUCAUAAUCCCCCUUAAUCCCCUUCUCCAU